rnacentral:rRNA from 1 species
UACGUAGGGGGCAAGCGUUGUCCGGAAUCAUUGGGCGUAAAGAGCGCGUAGGCGGCCAGAUAAGUCCGCUGUGAAAACUCGAGGCUCAACUUCGAGCUGUCGGUGGAAACUUUCUGGCUAGAGUCCGGAAGAGGAGAAUGGAAUUCCUGGUGUAGCGGUGAAAUGCGCAGAUAUCAGGAAGAACACCCGUGGCGAAGGCGGUUCUCUGGGACGGUACUGACGCUGAGACGCGAAAGCGUGGGGAGCGAACAGG